rnacentral:rRNA from 1 species
UGUCGUCAGCUCGUGUCGUGAGAUGUUGGGUUAAGUCCCGCAACGAGCGCAACCCUUAUUAUCAGUUGCCAGCAUUAAGUUGGGCACUCUGGUGAGACUGCCGGUGACAAACCGGAGGAAGGUGGGGACGACGUCAAAUCAUCAUGCCCCUUAUGACCUGGGCUACACACGUGCUACAAUGGUCGGUACAACGUGUUGCGAACUCGCGAGGGCAAGCAAAUCACUUAAAACCGAUCUCAGUUCGGAUUGUAGGCUGCAACUCGCCUACAUGAAGCUGGAAUCGCUAGUAAUCGCGGAUCAGCAUGCCGCGGUGAAUACGUUCCCGGG